GACUGUUUUGAUAUAUAUAUAUAUAUAUAUAUAGCUUUCACUCCAUAUGUGAAAGGCCAACAUGGAAGCUGGGCAGCAGCCUUGAAUGGAUUAAGGAAGGAUUAACAUAUGAGUCAAUGUUGUCAUUCGUGCAAGGGUACUUCCAACUUCAAAAGGGCUGGCUAUUGUCAACUCUACCCUGCAGCCCAAAGAACAAUAACAAAUUUCAAAAUUUAGGUCAAUCACCCUUGAAAAUUUGAUGCAUAUUCUACUCCAACAAAAUUAUGAAUUGGAUUUGAAAUUAACCACACAACUAGAUUAGAUCAUUUAUGAGAAUGACAUUGAAGACAAUAAAUCAAACAAUUAGUGCACUUCAAACACAUUAUGAAUCCCUUUGAAGAACUAUGUAUUCCACAUUCAUAAUAAUCAUGAAGGCUUUCCAUGACUUCUACUCCUCUUAGAACAAGGCUGCAAAACUAAAAAUGGAUGUGGGUUGAUCCCUCUCUUGCUGCCCAAUAUUAAGAUGUCAUUUAUAUGACCCUUUCAUUGAUAUUUCGACCUACCUUGGGUGUGUGUGUGUGUCAGAGAGAGAGAGAGGAUAUUGAGCAAUAGAGAAAAGAGUUCUAUAAAGAGAGAGACAUAGAGUGAGAAUAUUUUCUUAGUCCCCCUCUUUCCUGAUUCUAUGGGUUUAGGGAUCACCCUUUUUCACUCAUCUACCUCAUGUUUCUAAUGGGUUCAGAAUCUCUCUUUGCGUUUAAUGAAUAAAAUAAGUAAAAUCAUAGUCAAGCAAGAGAGAGAAACAGUUAGAGCGCCAAACUGUAUAAGAGAGCAAAAUCAUAAUCAACAAAGAGACCAUAAAAAUCUAGUUUUUUCUCGUUAGAUCAUAUUUGGCAUUUCUCUCUAGAUCAUAUCCCAACAAAUUUGGUUUUUCUCUUUAGAUCAUAACCAAGAAAGAGAGCAAAAUUAUAGUCAAGAAAGACCCCAUGAAAAUCAAUGGGGAAAACCCCUGAAAUCUAGAGAGAGAAACAGUUAGAGCACCAAAACUGUAUAAGAGAAAAUACAAAAGUACACCCAAGAAUGAAAAGAAAAAAGAUAGUCAAGAUUGAAUACCCGUUUGUCCCUAUAAGUAUUGAGAUUUUGUAUUUCCUUGUUUAGUUGGAAUGAGAAAGAGGGAUAUUGAGAGAGAGAGCACCAUUGUGAGAAGCCUCGUGUUCCUGAAAAAGGGAGAGAGAGAUCUCUUGGAACGGGAAAAGGAAGAGAGAGAGAUAGAGAGAGGGAGGCAUUCUUUGAGAGAGAGAGAGCUCUGAUGUGAGAGAGCUCUGUGGUGGGUAAGGGUAGAGAGAGAGAGCUCUGUUGUGAGAGAGCUCUGUGUUGGGGUAAGGGUAGAGAGAGAGAGAGAGCGGGAGCGGGAGCGGGAGGGAUG
rnacentral:lncRNA from 1 species